rnacentral:rRNA from 1 species
GAUGAACGCUGGCGGCGUGCCUAAUACGUGCAAGUCGAGCGAACGGACGAGAAGCUUGCUUUUCUGAUGUUAGCGGCGGACGGGUGAGUAACACGUGGAUAACCUACCUAUAAGACUGGGAUAACUUCGGGAAACCGGAGCUAAUACCGGAUAAUAUUUUGAACCGCAUGGUUCAAACGUGAAAGACGGUCUUUCUGUCACUUAUAGAUGGAUCCGCGCUGCAUUAGCUAGUUGGUAAGGUAACGGCUUACCAAGGCAACGAUGCAUAGCCGACCUGAGAGGGUGAUCGGCCACACUGGAACUGAGACACGGUCCAGACUCCUACGGGAGGCCGCAGUAGGGAAUCUUCCGCAAUGGGCGAAAGCCUGACGGAGCAACGCCGCGUGAGUGAUGAAGGUCUUCGGAUCGUAAAACUCUGUUAUUAGGGAAGAACAUAUGUGUAAGUAACUGUGCACAUCUUGACGGUACCUAAUCAGAAAGCCACGGCUAACUACGUG